AGCAGCCGCGGUAAUUCCAGCUCCAAUAGCGUAUAUUAAAGUUGUUGCAGUUAAAAAGCUCGUAGUUGAAUUUCGGGAUCAGCGCGUCGGUCGUGCCUCCGGUAUGCACUGGCGCCGCUGGUUUCUCCCUUCUGGGGAACCGUGAUGUCAUUAAUUUGGUGUUGCGGGAAAUCAGGACUGUUACUUUGAAAAAAUUAGAGUGUUUAAAGCGGGCACGCGCUUGAAUACAUUAGCAUGGAAUAACGAAAUAGGACGUUCGAUCUUAUUUUGUUGGUUUCUAGGAUUGACGUAAUGAUUAAUAGGGAUAGUUGGGGGCAUUAGUAUUCAAUUGUCAGAGGUGAAAUUCUUGGAUUUAUUGAAGACUAACUACUGCGAAAGCAUUUGCCAAGGAUGUUUUCAUUAAUCAAGAACGAAAGUUAGGGGAUCGAAGACGAUCAGAUACCGUCGUAGUCUUAACCAUAAACUAUGCCGACUAGGGAUCGGAUGAUGUUAUUUAUAAUGACUCAUUCGGCGCCUUAAC
rnacentral:rRNA from 1 species